rnacentral:tRNA from 3 species
GGCGGACGUAGCCAAGUGGAUUAAGGCAGUGGA